rnacentral:rRNA from 1 species
UACGGGGGGAGCAAGCGUUGUUCGGAUUUACUGGGCGUAAAGGGCGCGUAGGCGGUCAGCACAAGUCAGUUGUGAAAUCUCCGGGCUUAACUCGGAAAGGUCAACUGAUACUGUGCGACUAGAGUGCGGAAGGGGCAACUGGAAUUCUCGGUGUAGCGGUGAAAUGCGUAGAUAUCGAGAGGAACACCUGCGGCGAAGGCGGCUCACUGGCCCGGUACUGACGCUGAGGUGCGAAAGCGUGGGGAGCAAACAGG